GCUUUAAAUAGAUACAAAAGAAUUGUGAGCCUGAUGAAUAUUUUCAUGAGUAUAAUUUUAAAUGCACACUAAAGAAUAUUGUGAAAAUACGCUUUCAAUAUUUUUUAACCACGUCUUCACUUGUACUCGUAAGUAAAUGAUUUGACAAUACUAAGGUGCUAUUAUCGAAAUUUUUAUUUAAUUAAAUGAACAAAGUGGUUACAGCUAUACAAACAAUGUUGAAAAAUGAAAAUGUAAUAAAAACA